AGGCUACAACACAGGACC
rnacentral:miRNA from 1 species